GACAGAGGUGCCGAGCGUUAGGCGGAAUCACUGGGCUUAAAGCGUGUGUAGGUGGAUGCCUAAGUACCUUGUGAAAUCCCACGGCUUAACCGUGGAACUGCUUGGUAUACUGGGUGUCUUGAGCCAGCUAGGGGCUACCGGAACAAAUGGUGGAGCGGUGAAAAUGCGUAGAUAUCAUUUGGAACGCCAAUGGUGAAAACAGGUAGCUGGGGCUGUGCUGACACUGAGACACGAAAGCCAGGGGAGCGAACGGG
rnacentral:rRNA from 1 species